AGGUCUUCGGAUGCUGACGAGUGGCGAACGGGUGAGCAUACAUCGGAACGUGCCCGAGAGUGGGGGAUAACGAGGCGAAAGCUUUGCUAAUACCGCAUACGAUCUCAGGAUGAAAGCAGGGGACCGCAAGGCCUUGCGCUCACGGAGCGGCCGAUGGCAGAUUAGGUAGUUGGUGGGAUAAAAGCUUACCAAGCCGACGAUCUGUAGCUGGUCUGAGAGGACGACCAGCCACACUGGGACUGAGACACGGCCCAGACUCCUACGGGAGGCAGCAGUGGGGAAUUUUGGACAAUGGGCGCAAGCCUGAUCCAGCCAUGCCGCGUGCAGGAUGAAGGCCUUCGGGUUGUAAACUGCUUUUGUACGGAACGAAAAGACUCCUUCUAAUAAAGGGGGUCCAUGACGGUACCGUAAGAAUAAGCACCGGCUAACUACGUGCCAGCAGCCGCGGUAAUACGUAGGGUGCGAGCGUUAAUCGGAAUUACUGGGCGUAAAGCGUGCGCAGGCGGUUAUAUAAGACAGAUGUGAAAUCCCCGGGCUCAACCUGGGAACUGCAUUUGUGACUGUAUAGCUAGAGUACGGCAGAGGGGGAUGGAAUUCCGCGUGUAGCAGUGAAAUGCGUAGAUAUGCGGAGGAACACCGAUGGCGAAGGCAAUCCCCUGGGCCUGUACUGACGCUCAUGCACGAAAGCGUGGGGAGCAAACAGGAUUAGAUACCCUGGUAGUCCACGCCCUAAACGAUGUCAACUGGUUGUUGGGUCUUCACUGACUCAGUAACGAAGCUAACGCGUGAAGUUGACCGCCUGGGGAGUACGGCCGCAAGGGGAGAAUUCAAAGGAAUGGAUGGGGGACCCCCACAAGCGGGGGAUGAGGUGGUUAAAUCGGAUCAACCGCGAAAAACUUUCCCCUCCUGGGACAGGUGUGGAAUCCUUAAGAGAUAGAGGAGUGCUCGAAAGAGAGCCAUAACACAGGUGCUGCAUGGCUGUCGUCAGCUCGGGUCGAGAGAUGUUGGGUUAAGUCCCGCAACGAGCGCAACCCUUGCCAUUAGUUGCUACGAAAGGGCACUCUAAUGGGACUGCCGGUGACAAACCGGAGGAAGGUGGGGAGGACGUCAAGUCCUCAUGGCCCUUAUAGGUGGGGCUACACACGUCAUACAAUGGCUGGUACAGAGGGUUGCCAACCCGCGAGGGGGAGCCAAUCCCAUAAAGCCAGUCGUAGUCCGGAUCGCAGUCUGCAACUCGACUGCGUGAAGUCGGAAUCGCUAGUAAUCGCGGAUCAGAAUGUCGCGGUGAAUACGUUCCCGGGUCUUGUACACUCCACCGGUCACACCAUGGGAGCGGGUUCUGCCAGAAGUAG
rnacentral:rRNA from 1 species